UGGCUGUCGUCAGCUCGUGUCGUGAGAGUGUUGGGUUAAGUCCGUAACGAGCGCAACCCUUGUCCUUAGUUACCAGCACGUUAUGGUGGGCACUCUAAGGAGAACUGCCGGUGACAACCGGAGGAAGGUGGGGAUGACGUCAAGUCAUCAUGGCCCUUACGGCCUGGGCUACACACGUGCUACAAUGGUCGGUACAAAGGGUUGCCAAGCCGCGAGGUGGAGCUAAUCCCAUAAAACCGAUCGUAGUCCGGAUCGCAGUCUGCAACUCGACUGCGUGAAGUCGGAAUCGCUAGUAAUCGUGAAUCAGAAUGUCACGGUGAAUACGUUCCCGGGCCUU
rnacentral:rRNA from 1 species